UGAAGCGUAGUUCAGUUGGGAGAACACUUGCAAGGCAUCUGCAAGAGGUCGAGGGUUCGAGUCCCUCCGCUUUAA
rnacentral:tRNA from 1 species